AACGCCCCUCAACAAGGACUAGGGUUCCGUCGUUUUACGCCGGACCCCCGGAAGGCAUCCACGGUGCGGAGCAAGUGUCUACGUCAAAGUCCUCAAGUCAACAUAUGGGAGUAGCCGAUUCCAGUGGGGACUAGCCCAUUCCCCCUGAGUAGGCGAUUCCCACACCUGAGUAGGCGAUUCCCACAAGGAGUAGGCGAUUCCCAGCCGUUACUUGAGCUGGCCCAC
rnacentral:lncRNA from 1 species